CUAAAUCAUACAACCCAAUUUUUUAAUUCUACAAUGCAGACAAGAGUAUCAAUAUACUACAAACCAAAUUUUAAAAAUUAUCUAAACAUACAGAAUCGUUAAAAUAAUAAAGCAAAAUCAGAAUUUUGAGGCUUCAACUUCAUUUCAUGCUUUCAACAAGAGAUACUACAUCAAAUCAAUCUCGAAAUAUACCUGGAAUUUAGAAAAAAAUGAAGAGGAAGUGAGAUUCAAUGGCAGUAGUAACGACUGCAAGUAGAAACAGUUUAGAGUUCAAAAUAACCACAAAUGCAACCCGGGAAGUCGUAAAAACAAGACAGCAAAACAAACACCCUCCACAGACUCUACUGAACUUGAAAUGAACCAAGACUGGACAAGUAAAUCCCCAGAAGAAAUCUUAGUGAAUUGAAAUCAGGAUGAGAGACCAAAGACCAAUGACUGAAACUCGAAAACCGAAUCCAAAAUUCAAUGGAGUAGUAACUCAGCGUGUAGGUCCUUAUUUUCAAUAUAUUAUUAGCCUCAAAACUAUCACCGUUACCUUCUGAAAAUCAGUUUAAAACUGAUCUAAAAAGAACUAUUACUCAAACUUCCACACUCUUGAAAAGAAAAACUGUUUUUAAACUCUCAAAAAUAUCUCCAAAUUUCUUAACAGAUUCCCCAUUUUAUUCCUUCACUGAUUGUCUUCCCUUUUAAUGUUGAAAUGAAUCCAUAUAUAACUCAAGCCAAG
rnacentral:lncRNA from 1 species